UACGUAGGGUGCGAGCGUUGUUCGGAAUCAUUGGGCGUAAAGAGCGUGUAGGCGGUUUGUUAAGUCUGAUGUGAAAGCCCGGGGCUCAACCCCGGAAGUGCAUUGGAUACUGGCAAACUCGAGGGUGAGAGAGGAAGGUGGAAUUCCAGGUGUAGGGGUGAAAUCCAUAGAUAUCUGGAGGAACAUCGGUAGCGAAGGCGGCCUUCUGGCUCACUUCUGACGCUGAGACGCGAAAGCGUGGGUAGCAAACAGG
rnacentral:rRNA from 1 species